AGUCUCUCCUGCCUCAUGCCCCUCAAAUUCGUUCUUCUGAGGAGGUUGCUGCAGCCCUGUAUGGAUUCGCCGCUAACAUCUUCCGCUGCCGUGUGACUCAGAUAACUUCCAUCGCUAACGUGGAGAGGACCUUGUUUUCCAGUCUCAAUCAGCCAUGCGAGGUGCUCCCUUCCACUACCUCUGAGGACACGCAAUUGUUGCCAGAACCUAGAGGGCAUCACUGUUGAAACUCCCCUGGGCUCGGGGGCUGUAGGCAGAGCAGAAGCCCCUCCUUUAGGCCCCCAAGCUCCACUUCAACAAACCACGUGGCUGUAACCAGGGCUUC
rnacentral:lncRNA from 1 species